CCUGUUCCCUACGCGAACGAUGUAGUGCCAGAUCGUUGACAUUAUUGCACGUUAAUUUAUCUUACGAUGCGUUUACUUCGAAUCCCGUAAAUAUAAUUUAGCCUUUCGAACGCGCGAACACGGACAUCGCACCUUUCGAUGCCGGACGAGCCUUCGGCAAAAUUUCGAGCGAAACAUUUUCAACGCAUACGUCGCUAGGCAGGAGCGAACGUGCAUUGUGUCAUAAUUGCACCAUAUAUGGGCCGCAUCUCUCUCGAGGCACGACUGAAUCGUUUUCUCCCGACGUUUCUUUUUUUGGCAAAGCGGAGACCGCUGCGGGAACGCCCAUGCACCCAAUCACGGAAAUGACUGAACUAUCCGACUUAGCGAAUUAGGUUUCCAAGUCUCGUUAGAAAUGUCCCAUUUCGACGAGUUUGAAGACCGGCCCAUGAUCGACCCUGAACUUAGGCCGGUAUUCAUAGUCGGAUCUUCAGAUACCCCAUAGCCAAUGAAAUGAUCCAUAUAGCAUCUGAAGAUGAAUUUAUGGGUGCCUUCCGUUUCACGCACUGAGCGCAUAGUUCAAACAUGGAUGUAAGAAUUCUUACACCGAUAUGCUUGGAUUGGCAAUGCUAUCUUUAUCUCAUGUAAUUAAACAGUCCUUUUUCGAUUAAUUGCAUGAUUUAAUGCAAGAAUGAAGUAAAUGUAUUUACAAGAAAAAGCUCGAAAUAGAUUUUACAGAUUUAUCUUGUACUUAAUCCCGCAAUUUUCAUAGAACGUGUCAGAAAUAUCCUUAAUGCUACUGACAAUAUUGCACAUCUGACCAACAAAAUACUAUUUUCGGAGCCCAGCGUUGGGAAUACGGAGAUUUGUUCGCACUGCGCAGGUAGGACAUAUGGGACAAUAGUCCUAGCGCCGGAUCACAAGGCCAUUGUAAAUAAAGGAUUUAGCUAUUUGGAGACAGCUUUGCACUUCCGAUCACCGGUUUUCAAAAUAAAAUGUCCUGACCCAUGCGUAAUAGGAGAAUACAUGUGGCUGAGAAAACCACGAAUACAUAUUAUGAUUGAACUUGAUAUACGUAUGGAUAUAAAAGGUACAGGAAAGCCAUGCAUUAUUAAAGAAAUGCCAACUACACUCACACUUCAACACAGCGAAACAUAAGUUCUAAAUACAGAUUGGCCGGAAUAGUAGCCUUUGACUCAAGACAUUAUAUCGCAUACUGCCUGCGUACCAAUGGGAUUUGGCAAAUUUACGAUUUAGCUGAAGCUAUCCGGACGUGUAGUUCAACCACCAAAAUCAACCCCCACUUUGCCGUGUACAUACGUUGUUAGGAUUGGAAGUGACGUUGUCAUCCACUCAGGUUUCCGCAAUAAUAAAUCGUUUAUCCAGUAAUCUACGAAGAUAAGCGCAUCUGAAUGAAGCCAUGUUCAGUUAUUGUUCAUUUUUCGAAGAUCUAAGAGUAUCAUCUAAACGUGCUGCAACUUUAUACCCAUCGUGAAAUGGACAUGAAAUUAAACAUGCGAAAAUAUUUUUACACACCCCUCUACAAUGUGUUUUUUAAAAUUCGGUUUUUAUAAAUAUGUAUGUCAAAUAUUGUAUAAAACAUUAUACUGAGAGUAGUCAAUGAAUAUUAUUACGCUGACAUUUCAGUAUAUUUAUAUGCUGAAGAAGGGAGGUCCGGUCAAACGGAUUUACAAUGUAAUUGACGAAAUGAAAUAAAUAUAUUUCAAAAUGAAA